rnacentral:rRNA from 1 species
UACGUAGGGUGCGAGCGUUAAUCGGAAUUACUGGGCGUAAAGCGUGCGCAGGCGGUUCGUUAAGACAGAUGUGAAAUCCCCGGGCGUAACCUGGGAACUGCAUUUGUGACUGGCGAGCUAGAGUAUGGCAGAGGGGGGUAGAAUUCCACGUGUAGCAGUGAAAUGCGUAGAGAUGUGGAGGAAUACCGAUGGCGAAGGCAGCCCCCUGGGCCAAUACUGACGCUCAUGCACGAAAGCGUGGGGAGCAAACAGG